rnacentral:lncRNA from 1 species
CUGAGGUAGCCUGCUCUCUUUAGCAGCCAAAGCUUUAAUUCAGAAGCCCUCAUGGCCUUUUAGGUAAGCCUACUGCCCUCCCUCCUCCCUUGAGCUUUUCCUGGAAGCUGCUUGGCAAGGUUUACUGGAACAAUAUGGCUCCAGUCCCCACACCAGCCACGACCUUGAGAAGGGAGGAGGCGUGGAGCCAUCCAAGGGCAUGAUGAGAGGAUCUUAGAAAAACAGAGACCUCCAGAGAUAAGGAUACAGAGGUUGAAGGGGCACAAGUGGGGGCUGGAAGAUUCUGCAGGGUGCGCUCAGUGGUGUGUCUGGGCCUCGGCCUUCCUGGAGCUGCCAACGCGUCAGCUGUCUACUCUUUUCUCCAAGAACACAAAUUGAGGAUGCUCUGGCUUCCGGCCAGAGCAGUACAGAGAGACUCCCAGCUCCGUCCACUGUUUCAGGCGAGCAUGGCCUCAAAGAGGUGUGCCCGGAGCCAAAUCAGGGCUGGAGUGUUUGAGAGACGCCGAGAAAAACAGGUGCGGACCGACUGACUUCCGGUGGUUGCCUCCUCAUCCCCCACUCCAAACAUCCAGGGAAGGACAUUUUCGGGAACUAUCAACAGAUCUAUCUUCCAGGCUGGAGAUAAGGAUUAUGAAAGAAAUGCCCAGGGGCACCUGGCUCAGUCUGCGGAGUGUGGGACUCUUGAUCGCGGGCUUUCCCAGAUACAGAGCUGCUCAGGGAGGCUGCAUCUAUCUGGCCAGCAAACAUCGCCCAGCUCGGCCUCUGGACCAAGUUUUGGGGUUGGCACAAGGAGAAGCAAAAGCUUUCGGCACGGACCCUGGCUUGUCCACCUUUCUUCCCCCUAGUCCUACCCUUCCUUCCCUCUAAGGCCAGAAGAAUUCCCACCUUCCAGACUCUGAACCCCUCUACUCACCUCUCUUUAGAAUUUACAUUAAUUAUGCACAGAGUUUGGCUGUAUCUUGCACAUAUGAGUUGAAUUCUCUUUUAACUCUACGAGAGAUUCCAUAUUUGGUUUUUUUAAAGCCAAUGGUAAAAAAAAAAAAAUCGAGUAGUGUAAAAGGAAGUUGCCUUCCCAUCCUUGACCCUUUUUUUUUUUUUAAGUAAGCUUUACACCCAAACUGGGGCUUGAACUGAGGAUCUUGAGAUCAAGAGUCACAUGCUCUACUCACUGAGCCAACCAGGUGUCCCCCAUCAUUGAUCCUUACUUAAUUCCCUCCUCCAAAGGCUACCUCUGUUACACAUUUUUGUGACCUUUCUCUUGCAUUUGUUAAAAUCGAUUAUGAAAAUAAAUUCAAAUAAAAGAAACGUGCCUUUAUAAAA